UACGGAGGGGGCAAGCGUUAUCCGGAUUUACUGGGUGUAAAGGGAGCGCAGGCGGUAUGGCAAGUCAGAUGUGAAAACCCAGGGCCCAACCCUGGGACUGCAUUUGAAACUGCCAUACUGGAGUGCCGGAGAGGUAAGUGGAAUUCCUAGUGUAGCGGUGAAAUGCGUAGAUAUUAGGAGGAACACCAGUGGCGAAGGCGAUUUGCUGGGCCAUCACUGACGCUGAGGUACGAAAGCGUGGGGAGCAAAUAGG
rnacentral:rRNA from 1 species